AAGGAUGACAACUAUGUUAUAUCUAAAAUAUUUUAUCAGCAGCAACAGGCCAAGUAUGGUGAUAAAAUUGAACAAGAUAUUCUUGAAAGCACUGGUGCCAUCAUUCCAAAAGUAGAUCCAGUCACUCCUAAGUCAGUGACUCCAGACCCACCUCGUACUGAAAGGCAUCCUGAUUUUGGCCCACGACAAGAGUCUCCUACUACAGAUGCAUUUGAUCAGGUACAAUUCUCUAUCUGACUAGUAGUGUGAAAUCAGCUGCUUUCUUUCAUGACUUAAUUCAUAUUGAACAAUCUAGAAUUUUUGGCUACAUUUCAUAAUGGCAACAAUUUAAAUUAAUAAAAAAUGAAAAAUAGAAGCUAUUGAAAGUAUCUUCUCUUUACAUUUAUACACGUCCUCUGUUGGAAGGAAAUCCUGACAGUUGUUUUUUUUCCUGGCUUCUUCUCCUCCUUAUACUUUUCCUCAUAAUGGAAGCAAUCUGAGAUAAGGCAUGUGGAAGAGGUUCAACCUUUAUGUGAAAACCCCGGUUCUAAUGAUAAAAUCGAAGCAGAAAAUCAUGCUAAUAUGAUGGUUGGUAAUAAUGAUAAUGGAAGUCAAGCAGGAGACGACCGCAAAUGGUGGGACAGUGAAUCGCAGAAUGGCUUAUCGCAGAAUAUCUUGGAUACGCAACAACUAGCAGAAGCGCUGACUCUAUGCGAGGAGUUCUUGAACAGCCAGUCUGAUGGAAAUGCGAAUGAUGGAACAUCAAAGGGAAAACCUGGUCUUUCUGAUUAUGCUCGGUUAGGAUCUGAACAUUUGAAGAAGGAUUUGGAGGAGUGUCAGAUGCUAGUCCAUGAUCCUGCAAACAUCGAACUCGAUACACCUCCAGAAUUUGGACUGAGCCAGCUUGUAUGUCCUGUUUUAUGCCAUUUCACUACUCUUUCAAUAGGAUUUUGAACUCUUUAUUUUCUCAAUUAUAUUUGAUACUGAUGCAUCCCUUUCGUGUUCUGUUGUAGGAAUUUAACUCACAGGAUAGUUUCAUUCCAUUCGGUGGAAGCAAGGCAAUAAACUAAUUUGUGGAUUUCCAGUGGUUGCUUUUAUGACAAACUUGCCUUCUAAACCUUCCUCGGGACUUUUGAGCCACAAUUUCUUGCCCGAUAUCCAAACUAAGCUACUGAUUUGUAAUUGUAAACUGAUGCUGAAAUUUAUCUUCUUUGGGACAAGCUCAUAGCCAUGUCUCUUAAGAAAGAUUUCUGAAGCUUUUUAUUAGGCCAAACAAUGUAGAGCUGUUAACGAUUUGCAUGUAAUCUUUCAUGUUGGAGGGAACUUCUAAGUUCUAUCUUCUGUGAGUAUGUUGUUGCAUACAAUCAUCUGGUCUGAUUUUACAAGGUCUGUUCUGAUGUUAUUGAACCCACGAGGUAGAACUCCCCCUUAAAAACUUGCUAUCCAGGGAAGGGUGCCUUGGGUUUAAUAAACCACCCUCUAAGCCGAUACCUAACCGAUUAUGUUAAUGUUUUCUGGAUGUUGAAUUUUAGCAUCUUGACAAAGCAUGUAGGUCCAAGCUAGUCUGGCAAUUUUCUUCAUUUAGACCUCUUCGCAUCUUAGUAUGGGAUAAGGAUAGGAAAAGCACAAGUGUCAUGGAUCCCAACGGUAGACCGAAUGCCGUGUGGACCACCAAAAUUCGAAGAAGCAUAAAAGAACCAAUGAAAUGAGCCGAUAAGAGCUGCAAUAAUUAGAGAACUGAAGCAUACAUGUCACGAAUUUGUGAAGCCCCAACAGAUCAUACAAGUUGGCUUUUAUUAUGGGCGUGUUUAUUAUAAGCUGGUAAUUAAGAUUGCUCUAGAGCUUGCCGGCUUCUUGUUCAUGUACUGCAUCAUUGGUUGUGUCUGUGGGGAAGCUGGGUAAGGAGCCAACACCCAUUCUGCCAGUUACCUAGGCUGGCAGCUUUGGCAGCAUGUUUUAAAGGGUGAGUGCACAUUUGCCUUUGCACAAGGAGUAGGGCACCUGCUCGAAUUCUAGACCAAAAACACGGUAAUUGGGCCAGCAUUUGUUGCUAAAAAGAGUUCAAUGCAUGCACGCAUGAAACAGACAGGACCACCGGCCACAACAUCCCUCGGUCCCGCCCACUGCCGCAGAAGCCCCUCGUGUUAUACAAAAAUAAUAUGGACUAUACUAUGUGUCAAUAAUAACGUGCAUUUCAUCUAUCAAACAUUGAAUUCGGAUGAAAAGUACAAUUGUAAUGACAUCAUAACAGUCAAAUUGUGUUAUAGAUGGUGGGUGGGAACCGGAAAGCAACUGUCCCAUGCAUAACAUAUGAUACGAAUAUUAAUUCAUUAUAUACUUUUUGUUAUCACAUACAUAGUACAUAUAACAUUUAUCAUGUUUUCUCUCAAAUGUAAUGUAUGUGAUAUUAUAUGAUGGUAACCUGAACUGAGUGCUAGCACUGUAUUCAGAAAUCAGAAUAAUGGUCGGCUGACUACAAAGCCGAAUCUAAAUCUUUGUCUUGGUAGCACCCUAAUGCUUGCAUAAUUCAAAUCGUUUGGCAUAAAACCAUUCAUCACCAAACCCUAACUGCCAAGCACUUGUUGUCUCAAAUAUAGAAGGAACUUAAAUUUCAAAACAAAUUAAACGACAUAAAAUUGAAUAUUUGUAGUUUUUUAAUAUGUAGUGAUACAGUCCAAUUGUACACAUGUUGAGUAGACAGGGAUUUAAAGUCAGCAUCAAUUGGUUUUGUAACAACCCAGCACAGAAUUAUGCGUUCAAUUUCACAUUUAUUUUGAAAAGAGACAGACCCACCAUCUUACUUGUAGUGUAGGAAAAUAUAAAAACAAUUGGAGCAAAUUUCGCAAAUUAAACUUCGGGGGGGUCCUACUAAAAUAAAUUUUUGCCCACUUAGAGAAGAUCAGUCUCCAUUUUUUUUUUUUUUUAAGUUUUCGUUACUCCUCCAUUAUUUGCGAUGCCGCAUUUUUUUAUUUAUUAGACAAAAUUUCUUUGGGCGAUAUUGGGCAAGAUUCAUAAACCAACCCAAUAAGGCUGUUUUUGAUUGACAUUAAGGUAUUUAUUAGAUACUGCGGUACAGUGGCUGAUUAUUCAAUUUAAGACACACUUUUAAACAUAAUUACACACAUAAUACAUAAAUAUAAAAUAAAUUUAUUCAAGUCAAUUAAGAAAUAGAGUAUGCCCAUUUAAAAUUGAGAAAUUUAAUUAAUUGACGCGGGAGUGCAAUUAUUGUCAUUUUCUGUUAGAUUUAGGUGGCGUUUGUUUUUUUAUCUGAAAUCUGAAUAGACCUGAAUCAGUAUGAAUUCUGAAUAGGUCUGAAUGUCUGAAUCUGAAUAAUAUGUUUGUUUUUUUGUUUGAAUCUCAGAAAAUAAGUAUUAAGUUGUUUGUUUUUUUCAACUUAAAAAACUAAAAAUAUGUACUUUUACAUUUGUAUCCUUAUUAAAUUUGAAUGUCAAAUAAAUAAUAUAUUAAAUACCACAAUAUUUUUAAUAUUUAUAAGUAAAACUAUAUUCAAGCGAAUACAUAAUUAUUUUAAAAUUUUAAUAUAUAAAAUACCAUAAAUUUCAAAUUUUAUCGUAUAUAAUAUAAGAAAGAAAAAACAUGGAUAUUUUUAUGUGGGGUAAAUAUCUAUGGGUGAGUUUUGGGAUAGACAUAAAAAAUAAAUUAUAAAACAUGGAUAUUUUUUACAUUAGCAAGUAAUUGACUUAAUUCAGAUUUCUCCAUUAAGUAAAAAGCCAAAAAAAUUAGAGCUUAUUUUAUUAAGUCAAAAUUAUCUAAAAAAUUUCAUUAAGUUAUAAAAACAAAUGCCUCUAAUUAAGUUAAUUAAUUAAGUUAAGUCACUUUAAGUCAUUAAGUUAAAAAACAAACGCCACCUUAGGCUCGAAAAUGGCUAAGGUUAUAAAAAAAAAAUAUGGACACUGCUGUACCGUACAUCCGCCUUGGCCGUACAGCAGAUUAUCUUCACUAAAUUUGUUUUCAAAAAUUCAAAAAUUUUAGGUGUUAAGCAAGAUGGAAGUGCAGCACACUUCUUUUAUAGAGCUAUCAAGGCUUACAGUACUGGAACUCGAAAGCGUAGAAAGAUAAAUGGUGAUGAUUUUGGUGAGGUGCGCUGGCACAAGACUGGCAGGACUAAACCAGUGAUGUUAGAUGGGGUUCAAAAAGGGUGUAAGAAGAUUAUGGUUCUCUAUAUGAGCAUGGUCAGGGGAGGGAAACCUGAGAAAACUAAUUGGGUGAUGCACCAGUAUCACUUGGGAACAGAGGAGGAUGAAAAGGAUGACAACUAUGUUAUAUCUAAAAUAUUUUAUCAGCAGCAACAGGCCAAGUAUGGUGAUAAAAUUGAACAAGAUAUUCUUGAAAGCACUGGUGCCAUCAUUCCAAAAGUAGAUCCAGUCACUCCUAAGUCAGUGACUCCAGACCCACCUCGUACUGAAAGGCAUCCUGAUUUUGGCCCACGACAAGAGUCUCCUACUACAGAUGCAUUUGAUCAGGUACAAUUCUCUAUCUGACUAGUAGUGUGAAAUCAGCUGCUUUCUUUCAUGACUUAAUUCAUAUUGAACAAUCUAGAAUUUUUGGCUACAUUUCAUAAUGGCAACAAUUUAAAUUAAUAAAAAAUGAAAAAUAGAAGCUAUUGAAAGUAUCUUCUCUUUACAUUUAUACACGUCCUCUGUUGGAAGGAAAUCCUGACAGUUGUUUUUUUUCCUGGCUUCUUCUCCUCCUUAUACUUUUCCUCAUAAUGGAAGCAAUCUGAGAUAAGGCAUGUGGAAGAGGUUCAACCUUUAUGUGAAAACCCCGGUUCUAAUGAUAAAAUCGAAGCAGAAAAUCAUGCUAAUAUGAUGGUUGGUAAUAAUGAUAAUGGAAGUCAAGCAGGAGACGACCGCAAAUGGUGGGACAGUGAAUCGCAGAAUGGCUUAUCGCAGAAUAUC
rnacentral:lncRNA from 1 species